rnacentral:rRNA from 1 species
UACGUAGGAUGCAAGCGUUGUCCGGAUUUACUGGGCGUAAAGCGCGCGCAGGCGGCAUGGCAAGUAAGGUGUGAAAUCCAUCUGCUCAACGGGUGGGGUGCACUUUAGACUGCCAAGCUAGAGGUCGGUAGAGGGGGGUGGAAUUGCUGGUGUAGCGGUGAAAUGCGUAGAGAUGUGGAGGAACACCGAUGGCGAAGGCAGCCCCCUGGGUCAAGAUUGACGCUCAUGCACGAAAGCGUGGGGAGCAAACAGG